UCUUGACUCCAGAGCAACUUUCCAGAGAUGGAUUGCGUGCCUUCGGAGAACUCUGAGACAGGUGCUUGCAUGGCUGUCGUCAGCUCGUGUUGUGAAAUGUUGGGUUAAGUCCCGCAACGAGCGCAACCCUUAUCCUUUGUUGCCAGCGGUUCGGCCGGGAACUCAAAGGAGACUGCCAGUGAUAAACUGGAGGAAGGUGGGGAUGACGUCAAGUCAUCAUGGCCCUUACGAGUAGGGCUACACACGUGCUACAAUGGCAUAUACAAAGAGAAGCGACCUCGCGAGAGCAAGCGGACCUCAUAAAGUAUGUCGUAGUCCGGAUUGGAGUCUGCAACUCGACUCCAUGAAGUCGGAAUCGCUAGUAAUCGUAGAUCAGAAUGCUACGGUGAAUACGUUCCCGGGUCUUGUACACACCG
rnacentral:rRNA from 1 species